AGUCAUCAUGUGAGAAGACUAAAUUUAUAUAUUUGAAUCAGUUCCAGAAAAAAAGUCUACUUCUUUUGGUCCAUUUAUGCAAGCGGUAAAGUUGACAAUGAAAAUUUAAAUUUAGCAUUUGUCAUAUAAUUCCUAUAACGUAUUACAUUAAUGAUUUUAAUUUUUAUCAUUUUUUUAUUGAGUUGAUUUUACAGAAAAAUAUUACAAAUUAAUGUACAGAUUUUUCAAUAAUAUGCCUAAUACCCGAAAGAAUUUCCAAGACUGCUUUAGGACUCGAAAGGGAUUCAGACGUUAAUUCAAUCGCAAAAUAAAUAAAUUGUGAAUAUCUGAGUAGGCAAAUUUGCUGGAGCUGAGUGAUACAUGUACAUAAAAUGUUGUGCAUUUGGACUGAUCACAAAAAGAAGUGUAACAAAGGCUAAUAUUAAUUAGUUAAGUAAGGUAAUGCUGAGUAAUGUUGUUCUUUAUGUGUUUUACAUAUAUCCACAAUUUAUUCGAUAAUAAAAAAAACAGAUAUUAA